UACGUAGGGUGCAAGCGUUGUCCGGAUUUACUGGGCGUAAAGGGCGCGUAGGCGGCCAGCGCAAGUCAGUUGUGAAAUCUCCGGGCUUAACUCGGAAAGGUCAACUGAUACUGCGCGGCUAGAGUGCGGAAGGGGCAACUGGAAUUCUCGGUGUAGCGGUGAAAUGCGUAGAUAUCGAGAGGAACACCUGCGGCGAAGGCGGGUUGCUGGGCCGACACUGACGCUGAGGCGCGAAAGCCAGGGGAGCGAACGGG
rnacentral:rRNA from 1 species